rnacentral:rRNA from 1 species
CGAACGGGUGAGUAACGCGUGAGGAACCUGCCUCAAAGAGGGGGACAACAGUUGGGAACGACUGCUAAUACCGCAUAAGCCCACGGCUCGGCAUCGAGCAGAGGGAAAAGGAGUGAUCCGCUUUGAGAUGGCCUCGCGUCCGAUUAGCUGGUUGGUGAGGUAACGGCCCACCAAGGCGACGAUCGGUAGCCGGACUGAGAGGUUGAACGGCCACAUUGGGACUGAGACACGGCCCAG